rnacentral:misc_RNA from 1 species
ACAACUGAUUUGGUUUCGCGUUGCUUGCAGUCUUCAGGGUCUCUGAAGUAUUAGAAAUGUAAAAUUUCACAAGUCAUUUUUACAUUUUUAAUUCCCAUCGGGUUU